rnacentral:lncRNA from 1 species
ACUUGGCCUUCAGCCCCUGCCUCGGCCAGAGGUUUCAUUUUUAACUGAAUAUUUACGAAAGCUGAAAGCGUGCGAGGGGGGUGGGGUGGAAAUAGCGGCUGCUUCUUUUCCAAGGAUUUAUUUAAUGGGGAUGUGUUCAAGGCAAGACCGAAUUCAGAAGGAUAUCGACGUCGUGAUCCAGAAGUCCAGAGCUGAGGACUGCCUGUUUGCAGGACAACUGUGCAGACUACAAAGCUUCGGAAAACCGGAGAGGCUGAGUCGACUAAUCGUGUUGUUGCACGUUAGAAACGCUUGCAUUGCCUGACUCUGAAACCAGAAGGGCGGCCGAAUGGCCUUCACCCUCCAUUAACCCUCGCCUCCUUCAGAAGCCAGUGCCUCUGGAAAUGCCUGGAUCUGCGACCCCAGCCUGAGCCUAGUAGGGCCCAAGGGAAGCUGAACGCCCCGACGGCUCUCAUGGGCACCGGCAACAGUUUUCCGUUUGUGCCUACUCCACCUGCUGUCUUUGUUGGGUCAGCGAACAUCGCCUCCCUCUACCGCUCAAUCAGCAAAAGGGACCGCCCUUGAGGACCUCACCCGCGGCUCACUCCCCUCCCAACUUCGCGGGCAUCGCCUCCGGUCGCCUCUUCCGAAGGCCUAACGAGCAUGUUAGCUGCGAACGGAGGUGAGGAGGCUCCGCUGACUGACCGGUGCCCAUGUCCAGGGCACGCACAAACGCCAUGACUUGGCUUGGCCUCUCUCUUAGUUAUUCACAAGCUCAGCCCGAUAGGCACCUCUGGGGCGGCGACGGCAAAGAGGGUGCGCUUAUUAAGUGCAGCUCCACGGGGACUGGCCUCUGCACGGCUGUGUACACCUGAGCGAGACGCUCAGUCGCUCUCUAAAGCCGCUUCUGCGGAUGACAGACACGGAGAUAAACGUGAGAGGUGGCCCACCACGACUUGCCCUCCUUUGCCCGGGUUUGCCCCUCGCUGCGGAGGCUGUUCUACAUCUGGCCCUUGGAGCAGGCCGGCUGACAGCGUGGUAAAGGAAGAUUUCUGCGGGAGGGCGGCCAGUGCAAAACAAUUCCCUGACCGGGAAUCGAACCCGGGCCGUGGCGCUUUCAGCACCGAAUCCUAGCCACUAGACAACCAUGCAGAUGCGG